GUGCCAGCAGCGGCGGUAAUACGUAGGGUGCGAGCGUUAAUCGGAAUUACUGGGCGUAAAGCGUGCGCAGGCGGUUGUGCAAGACAGAUGUGAAAUCCCCGGGCUCAACCUGGGAAUUGCAUUUGUGACUGCACGGCUAGAGUGUGUCAGAGGGGGUAGAAUUCCACGUGUAGCAGUGAAAUGCGUAGAGAUGUGGAGGAAUACCGAUGGCGAAGGCAGCCCCUGGGAUAACACUGACGCUCAUGCACGAAAGCGUGGGAGCAAACAGG
rnacentral:rRNA from 1 species